GGCUUGCAGCAGCUAGACUGGCAGCAGCUGUCCUGGCAGCAGCAGGGCUUGCAGCAGCUGGACUUGCAGCAGCUGUCUUGGCAGCAGCAGGGCUUGCAGCAGCUGGACUGGCAGCAGCAGGGCUUGCAGCAGCUGGACUUGCAGCAGCUGUCUUGGCAGCAGCAGGGCUUGCAGCAGCUGGACUGGCAGCAGCAGGGCUUGCAGCAGCUGGACUGGCAGCAGCAGGGCUUGCAGCAGCUGGACUUGCAACAGCUGUCCUGGCAGCAGCAGGGUUUG
rnacentral:sRNA from 1 species